rnacentral:misc_RNA from 1 species
GUGAAUCAUCAAAUCUUUGAACGCAAAUUGCACUCUCUUCGGAGAGUAUGCCUGUUUGAGGGUCAGCCUAAAAAAAAUUGACAUAGGCGCUGUUUCGCGUUGACAUUCGUCGGAAAUUGGGUCAUCUUAAACUUUUUGGUUUUAAGGGGCUUAAAAUUUUUUUUACGAUUCCACGAACGUUUAUAAGAUUUAUUUACACGUUUAAGGUAUCGAUCUUAUUAUGGGUGGUCGUUAUAUCGGAUCAGUGCAUUA